GUGGGGAAUAUUGGACAAUGGGGGAAACCCUGAUCCAGCAAUGCCGCGUGAGUGAUGAAGGCCUUCGGGUUGUAAAGCUCUUUUGUCAGGGACGAUGAUGACGGUACCUGACGAAUAAGCUCCGGCUAACUUCGUGCCAGCAGCCGCGGUAAUACGAGGGGAGCUAGCGUUGUUCGGAAUUACUGGGCGUAAAGGGCGUGUAGGCGGUACCAUAAGUCAGAUGUGAAAGCCCUAGGCUUAACCUAGGAGGUGCAUUUGAUACUGUGGAACUAGAGAUCGAGAGAGGAAAGUGGAAUUACGAGUGUAGAGGUGAAAUUCGUAGAUAUUCGUAAGAACACCAGUGGCGAAGGCGACUUUCUGGCUCGAUACUGACGCUAAGGCGCGAAAGCGUGGGGAGCAAACAGGAUUAGAAACCCCAGUAGUCC
rnacentral:rRNA from 1 species